GUCAAUUAAUUUAUUAUAAAAAUAAAAAUAAAUAUUUUCUCAUGACAAAAAUUCUCACUAAUUAAAGUCUAUUUUUUUUACCAGACUAAUCAAAGUCAAUUAAUUACACCAAAUUACACUUAACAAAAGAAACAAAGCAAGCUCCAAAAGUCGCCAGCAGUUUUCAUUAGUGGGACACAUUUGGUCCUAAACUAUUUCUGACAACCCAAUCAAACACCAACUUGCGCAAAACUUUUUCCCUGCAGGCCAAAGCUGUGUAUCGUUGCCGGGUAAAAUCCAGGAACUAGAACUGGCCAACUCGCAGUUGGAGGUUUCUUUACACCCUUCGUGGGUUUUUAACUUUUGAGCGCCCUUCCUCUCUUUACACGAUCUCAGACCAAUCUCUUAGCUCAAACAAAUUCAACAACACAAUACAGUUAGGACAGUGCUCCGUCGAUAAAAAUUCAAGAUUUCUUGAAUGCCCAUUUGCCAUUUCUUCUUGUAGAGUAUACAUAUAUAUAGACGCUCGAUUCUUUACAUUAAUUUGCCAAAUCCAAGAAACCAAAUAACGCACCUUCAAGAACAAGGUGGUAGUGGUUGGUUUUCAUUUUUGGUGGCAAGGCCGGAAAUGAGACCACAACCCGAGAAACUAGUCUUUCUUUUUCUUUUUGUCAUCCUCUUGUUGGAUACUUGGUAUGUUGUAGACUCAGAUCUAGCAUCAGAUAGGACUGCCCUCGAAGCUCUGCGAAAGGCAGUGGGUGGUCGAUUGCUCCUCUGGAAUCUCUCCAGCAGUCCUUGCUUAUGGGUUGGUGUGUCUUGUGAACGGGAUAGAGUUGUUGA
rnacentral:misc_RNA from 1 species